UACGGGGGGGGCAAGCGUUGUUCGGAAUUACUGGGCGUAAAGGGCGCGUAGGCGGCGGCGUAAGUUGGAAGUGAAAUCCCAUCGGCUCAACCGUGGAAUUGCUCCCAGUACUGCGUCGCUCGAGGGGGAUAGGGGUCUGCGGAACUACCGGUGGAGCGGUGAAAUGUGUUGAUAUCGGUGGGAACGCCAGUGGCGAAAGCGGCAGACUGGACCCUUCCUGACGCUGAUGCGCGAAAGCUAGGGGAGCAAACGGG
rnacentral:rRNA from 1 species